GUGCUUACUUUGGCAGCACAUAUACUAGAAUUGGAACGGUACAGAGAUUAGCAUAGUGCCUACUUAAGGAUGACACACAAAUUUGUAAAGUGUUCAAUAUAGUU